CAUGCCUGCACAAUUUUGUUAUGGAUUGUACCCUCAUUUAUGUACUCAAGCAAUUUUAAUCCUCAAUCUUGUUUUCAUUUUUCAGGAUGCGAUGUUCUUUGAGAAAGCAGGAAAUGAAGAAACAGAUCGCCCGGGAAUGUUUUGAAGAACUUUUUUCAAAUGGUGUUUUGCGGCGCUUCUGUUUCCUAUGCUUAAUGGCAACCCCAAAAUGUUCUGUAUGCCUUCAUUUUCUCCAUUCAAGAUCUGAGCCUUCGAUUUUGACUUUAUACCUCCCUUGAGAUGGACCACUGAAAUAUGACAAGAGAAUGAGCUGAAUUUUUUAGUAAGCUAUCAGGUUGAGUCAUACUAUCAUAGGCGCAUCUUUUCGUAAUUUUUCUAGAACCAAGCUGUUUGUUUCAAGUCUCACAAUUUUACAUCUCCUUUGAUGCAUCAUCUUAGACUUUCUCUUUUUGAAACAACUCAGGAAGAAACCCAAUCGAAUGUCCAAACUUUUCAAUGUCACAGAAUUGGUAAAUCAUAAUGUAUCGAGUAUUUCAGCUCAUGUCAUUUCUUAAAUUAUCUGCUACAUAGCUUUUGAAUUUCAGUAUUGGCAGUGCGCUGCAGGGCUUUUGAUCUGCUCAUAGUUUUUAGUCUAAGUGUAAUCUACCGUUUUUUAAUUAUUCCUUGCCAUAUUGAAUUUUGCUCCAUUCAUUUGCUCUCUUUUCCCCGUAAUUUUAAGGUUUAUAUUGAGAAUCAGAAAGGGCGGGAAACGAUAUGAAAAGAAAAUAAAUAAAACCAUCAUUUUCCGGUUGAAUUUGAAAAACUGGUGCUGCACUAUGGUCGUUGAUAUGGCUUGGGCUUCAGUAUUUACAGGCAUUUUUAACCAAGCAACCUGGGAACUUUGUAAUAAUUUUUUUUUACUUUCUGCAACAGUAAGCAUCCUAUGUUCACUUAACACAAGACCAGGUAUAGGCGAUGUAUUGUUACUUAGCUCUUCAAUCUGCUGUUGUCGGGGUAACCUUUACACCCGACAGCUUUACAAUUGUUUAGUUUUCAGUGUGACUGACAGAGCGCGUCAAAAAAAACAACUUUUGGCUGUUUGCGAUAACUUGAGAGGCAAAGCAUCUGCUUAUCAGGCUAAUUUUCUUAAAAAACUUCCUCUCGACGCUCUAAUCCUCAUUUUAUUUUUCUGAUAAUUUUUUUUAAGUAUGAAGGUUGUCAGGCUAUGUGUUUGAGCACACCUUCCCUCCUUAUGCGCAUUUCCUUUAAGUGUGCUGGUAAUGAAUUAUUUUAAACGAUUUUUGGCGUUUAAUUCUCGCAAAAAUGUUUCAAUUACACAAGGAGAAAGGGUACAUGUUCAUCACCUCCUGAACAUCUUUCAGCACCAUUCUGUUCUUUCUGCACAAUAUGUAUACCUCGGAUGUUGCAGGGAUGCAGUCACAAGAAAUAAAGUAUUACGUGUAGUAUCAGCUUUCAGUUUAACAAGCCCUUUUUUUUAUUAAGUUGCCUUGAACGCAACUCAACAUUUUAUUUUCUCUAUUCUCGUAUGUUGAAAUGCAUCAAAGAUUUGUCUUUUAUUCCUGACUAUUACACUUUUUCAUUUCUUUUUUUUUUCAUCUACACUUACACUCAGAGCUAUAGCUCUUAAGUAGUGGUAAACAUUUAUCUAAUGUAACAACAAAGGCAUAUGAGAGUUAAAAGUCACUUUUGCUAAGGCCUAUUCCCUAAAAUUUUCUUCCAUGGAACAAUUCUAAAACCCCCCUGAUUAAAUACUAAUUACUGUUGGCCUGAUAUAAAUUUAUCAGUUUACUUUUUUCCGUUUUCCAAUGAAACUCAAUAUUGAACUUGACUUUCCGAAAAUCAUUUCACAUACUGAAUAUUAUACUCUACAUGCUUCCUCUGCUUUUAUUUUGGGUGGAUCGAUGCUUGUUAUACAUGUUUGUAAUGUCUUACCAUAAUUCUUGUCAUCCAUGAUUCAUUUCAGAUCUUAGUUAUGUCAUAUGGUUUUAUUUUAUAAUGAAAACCGUCUCAUUAUUCAUCAUUUGAUGAGAUAGGUAGAUUGUGCAAUAUUGUCAUCACAUCACUUUUCUUUUAUCGCUCAGCUUUCUUUUAGCGCCAUGACUUUGUAAGUUUUUCAUGACAGCACAAGUCCAGCAAGCUCCAAAAAUAUUCAGUUAAAAGAACUUUCUGUCUCUCUCUUGUUUGCCUUUCUUUAUACGCAUGAAUUUAUAAUCUGUUUUACUUAGCCUUUUGGCUCUUUUAUUUUUUAAAUGUAUUUUUAUUUUAGCAUAUUUACACUUUUUCUAAAGUUACUCUGUUUGGCCUUUAUUGCUGAUGUGUAGUUGGCAGAUUUUCUUUACUUACUUCAGUCUGUUACCUCAGGUCUCUUCAAGGGCUUACUGUUUUUCUAACCUUUAUAUUAGAAUAUUAUUCAUUACAAUGAAAUUCUGUCAUGAAAACGCAGCAACAAGAUAUGUAAUAAUUCAAUGAUCGUUAUUUUUUACAAGUUUAUUUAAAAUUUUUUAACAGUACCCUACCCAGUAUUUUAAAAUUAUUCUUCAAAGAGGCGGUAUUAGUCUUAAGUCGUUUGUAUUUAUUUUUUAAUGUCUAAUAAGUUAUCCAGCUACUAAAUGUAAGCUUAUAUUUAUUCAUAAUUUAUUUUCUUACACAUGUACGUUUUGUUAUUGGUUCAAUAAAAGUUUAUUAAUAUUUCA